AGCAUCUGGGAUGCCACUCCAUCAUCCAGCCAACAUAAUUCUUGCUUCCUUUACUGCUGUAGGCAGCUCUCAAUCCAGAGUUAUGCAGCAGAUAAAAGAAGAGGCAGUAAGAGGUCAAAAACGAGUAAGAGUGAGGGGUUACAAUGUGUUUUUGCUGAGACUGAGAAAGGAAGUAUAAAGAAAAAGAAUUGUGCAAGAAUAAGAGGGCUAUUCAGAUAUGGUGAUGUCAGAUGAAAUGUGGUUGGGUCAACUAUUUGGUUUGGGUAACCAGAGAAGGUAAGAACAUUUUGAGCUUCUAGUAAAUCUCCUUGAGCAGAAGCGUCUGUUCAUGUGUCCCAGGUCUAAAAGAAACUAUGACUGUUUAUGGAAAGAAUUCUUUGUGUACGGGCUGCAGGCAGAUUCUGUUCUUCUGCCUCGAUGAACUGGUGUGUGGUCAGUGAACUCUGUGACAACAGCUUGCAAAGAAAAAACUGCCCAUCUGCCGGAUUUUCACAGCAGGUAACAACAUGCUCUUUCUCCAUAUUGGGGACUAUGCUUCUCACACUGCAUGUGGUCCUGGAAAAACGAAGUUCCCCCAUGACCUUCUCCACCCGCUCUGUGGCCCAUCAUCUGGAACACUGGAGACUAACCAGCAGUCUCCAUCAUCUGGAACACUGGAGACUAACCAGCAGUCUCCAUCAUCUGGAACACUGGCCUUACCUAUGGCAUGCUCUAUGGACACUGGGAGAGAGGAGGUGGCUAUUUUACUCUGGGAUUUCUAGUUGUAGGGAUUGUGUGAGCCUGGGAUUGUUGGGAGCAAUUUCCUCAGCGGUAUGGGAGAAACUGCCUGUAGAACAAAGCCAUUACACAGAGGAAAGCAGAGCCAAGAGGUGGGGAGACAAACACUCAGAAUUCUGAUGGCAUCACUAAAGGCCCUGGAUCCAGCCAUGCCUGAAAGGAGAACACCCCAGUUACAAGAGCCUCAAGAGAGCCCCUUCUAGCUUGAGAAAGUUUCAGCUGGAUUUUUGUCAUUUGACCCAAUGCAAAGGGAAUUACAGAAUUUAAAAAAGCCAAAGGAUUUUAAUAAGAGUAGAUAUAAACACUGUGUUUAGACUACAUUUUUCAAAGGCCCUACAUAGAAAAACACAAACUCUUCGUGUUUCUUUGAAUGUGAUUUUGCUCUGAGAUGGAAACAUGGGUUUUGGCUCUACCUGAGCAAGUUAUCUAUUCAUUUUGUUUCCUCCUCUAUAAUAUAAGAAUAGUAGCAGUGCCUGCCUCUGGUAGGUUAAUACAUUCAGAGCUCUUAGAACAGUGCCCAGCAUAUAAUAAAUGCUCUGUACCACUCUAAUAGUCUGCUUGCAUUUCCUUUCUUUCCUCGGUUAAUUUUCCCCCAUACCUCAAGUCAGCAUCCAAAAAAGGUAAAGCAGGUUGUGGUAGUGCAUAUGCCUAUUGUCGCAGCUACUCAAGAGGCUGGGGGGAGGGUCACUUGAGCCCAGGAGUGAACCCAGGAUCUCAAGGCCAGCUUGGGCAAUACAGUGUGACCCUGUAUCAAGAAAAAGGAAGAAAGGAAGGAAGGGAGGAAGAGGGGAAGGGAAGGGAAGGGAAGAAGGGAAGGAGGGAGGGAGAAAGGGAGGGAAAAAGGGAGCUAGAAAGUGGAAAACUAGUCUGGUAAAUACCAGGCAGAACUUGCUUUGAAGGUUGAGGGCUGGGAAGAAACUGAGCUGGUGAAGGCAGAGCCUCUUCAGUGAGUGGGGACAGAAGAGAAUCUGUCAAGAACACACAUUUGUUAACAAAGUUGAGUUUGUCAAAUAUAGACUGAACACAUAUUAGUUUGUUCACAUUAGCCUUUAAUACCUUCUUAACUAGUAAAAAUUUAAUG
rnacentral:lncRNA from 1 species